GCGGAGUCACGUGCCCGGACGCCCCGCCCUCGACCCGAUUCGCGCCUCGAAAUGGCGGUCAAUGGCUUCGUCAGCCCCACGGUCGCCGUUAAGCGCACAGACUCAAUGUCAGACUGAAGUGAAGCGCAUCCAAAGAGAGCCUGGACAUGGAAUCUGAUCAUUUCAAUAUGGCAAACACUCAACAUCACUUGUCAAGAAUGAAUUGUUCUAUGGGGCAACGCAUUCCUGACCCUGCCCUGCAGCCUCAGUGCACAACACCACUGGCAAAUUACAAAUUAAACUCAGAGAACCUGGACAUGGAUCUAAUCAUUUCAAUAUGGCAUUGUCGACUGUGAACAGAUGGAUCGAUCACUGUUCACUGUGAAUCUGCUGCUCUGAGGAAACCAGAGCAUACAUCCCAGAUUGCACUCGCCUUAACCCCUGAGAGCCUGGACAUGGAAUCUGAUCAUUUCAAUAUGGCAUUGUCGACUGUGAACAGAUGGAUCGAUCACUGUUCACUGUGAAUCUGCUGCUCUGAGGAAUCCAGAGCAUACAUCCCAGAUUGCACUCGCCUUAACCCCUGAGAGCCUGGACAUGGAAUCUGAUCAUUUCAAUAUGGUACCAACUGGGGUCCCAUUGUGUGUUUCCUGGACUUUCUGUUUUAUCUUGUGAAGUACUGAACUGAAUUUCAUGUCUGCAGUCGAUGUUUCUUGCCUAAUGGGAGGCCUCUUUGUUUCUACAAAAUAGAAAUUGAUGUGCAAAGUCAAGUGACCUUCCAUUCAUUGUGCGCUCUCUUCUCGAGCACAAAGCAGCUGUUCUCUGUCUGCAGUUGCUUAUUAUACUGUGUCACUUGUGAUCCUGAAUAAAUCUCUUCCUAUCCAUGGC